GUCUCUGUAGUGUAAUGGAUAGCGCGUUGGACUUCUAAUCCAAAGGUCGUGGAUUCGAAUCCCACCUGGAAUA
rnacentral:tRNA from 1 species